GAUGAACGCUGGCGGCGUGCUUAACACAUGCAAGUCGAACGAGAAGUGAAGACGGAAACCUUCGGGCGGAAGGCUUUAUUUCGAGUGGCGGACGGGUGAGUAACGCGUGGGUAACCUGCCUCAUACAGGGGGAUAACAGUUGGAAACGACUGUUAAUACCGCAUAAGACCACAGCACCGCAUGGUGCGGGGGUAAAAACUCCGGUGGUAUGAGAUGGACCCGCGUUCGAUUAGCCAGUUGGCGGGGUAACGGCCCACCAAAGCGACGAUCGAUAGCCGAUCUGAGAGGAUGACCGGCCACAUUGGGACUGAGACACGGCCCAAACUCCUACGGGAGGCAGCAGUGGUGAAUAUUGCACAAUGGGGGAAACCCUGAUGCAGCGACGCCGCGUGAGUGAAGAAGUAUUUCGGUAUGUAAAGCUCUAUCAGCAGGGAAGAAAAUGACGGUACCUGAGGAAGAAGCCCCGGCUAACUACGUG
rnacentral:rRNA from 1 species